AUGGAGUUUAAUGAGAGAAGAGCGAGGUCAUGCACUUUAUUAAGGAGCUCUAAUGAUGAAUUAUCUAAAUGGAGAAAAAUUGGAGAUAAGUACUGAAGGACUAGGUGUUCUUGAGCAUGAAUCAUAAAGUUAGCGGGCAGGUAUGGCAAGUGGUUCGGAGGGAAAAUAGCGUAUUAGCUUUUUUGCACGAGGAUUGGAAAAAUGGGAAGGCAAUUAUACAAUUGGACAGUGAGGCCACACCUGGAGUUCCUUGCGCAAAAAGAAUAUAUUGGCAAUGGAGGCAAUCCAAAAGAGGUCAUCUCAGGAACUCGCCUUGUGAAUACUUUUAGAUUGCCUCCAUUGCCAAUCAGAUCUAUAUUCUUUGGAGCUUAGAAGAAUGGGUGAUGAUCUUAUUGCAAGAUA